CGGGGUGUAGCUCAGCUUGGCAGAGCGCUGCGUUUGGGACGCAGAGGCCCCCGGUUCGAGUCCGGGCACCCCGA
rnacentral:tRNA from 1 species